UACAGAGGGGGCAAGCGUUAUUCGGAAUUAUUGGGCGUAAAGGGCGCGUAGGCGGAUAGUUAAGUCCGGUGUGAAAGAUCAGGGCUCAACCCUGAGAGUGCAUCGGAAACUAGUUAUCUUGAGGACAGGAGAGGAAAGUGGAAUUCCACGUGUAGCGGUGAAAUGCGUAGAUAUGUGGAGGAACACCAGUGGCGAAGGCGACUCUUUGGUCUGUAACUGACGCUGAGGCGCGAAAGCGUGGGGAGCAAACAUG
rnacentral:rRNA from 1 species